rnacentral:rRNA from 1 species
AACGAACGCUGGCGGCAGGCUUAACACAUGCAAGUCGAGCGCCCCGCAAGGGGAGCGGCAGACGGGUGAGUAACGCGUGGGAAUCUACCCAUCUCUACGGAAUAACGCAUGGAAACGUGUGCUAAUACCGUAUACGUCCUUCGGGAGAAAGAUUUAUCGGAGAUGGAUGAGCCCGCGUUGGAUUAGCUAGUUGGUGGGGUCAAGGCCUACCAAGGCGACGAUCCAUAGCUGGUCUGAGAGGAUGAUCAGCCACACUGGGACUGAGACACGGCCCAGACUCCUACGGGAGGCAGCGGUGGGGAAUAUUGGACAAUGGGCGCAAGCCUGAUCCAGCCAUGCCGCGUGAGUGAUGAAGGCCCUAGGGUUGUAAAGCUCUUUCACCGGUGAAGAUAAUGACGGUAACCGGAGAAGAAGCCCCGGCUAACUUCGUGCCAGCCGCCGCCGUAAGAC